rnacentral:rRNA from 1 species
UGCAAGUCGAGGGGCAGCAUUUCGCUAGCAAUAGUGAAGAUGGCGACCGGCGCACGGGUGAGUAACACGUAUCCAACCUGCCGAUAACUCGGGGAUAGCCUUUCGAAAGAAAGAUUAAUAUCCGAUAGUAUAUUAAAACCGCAUGGUUUUUACUAUUAAAGAAUUUCGGUUAUCGAUGGGGAUGCGUUCCAUUAGAUAGUAGGCGGGGUAACGGCCCACCUAGUCUUCGAUGGAUAGGGGUUCUGAGAGGAAGGUCCCCCACAUUGGAACUGAGACACGGUCCAAACUCC